rnacentral:rRNA from 1 species
GUGAAAGAAGGACGUGGUUACCGGCGAAACGUUUCGGGGAGUUGGAAAUAAGCAUUGAUCCGAAAGUAUCCGAAUGAGGAAACUCGAAAACUUUUUACUGAAUCUAUAAGUAAAAAAAGAGCGAACCUAGGGAAUUGAAACAUCUUAGUACCUAGAGGAAAAGAAAGUAAAAACGAUUCCCUGAGUAGUGGCGAACGAAACGGGAACAGCCUAAACUUAUUUUUUAUUAAAUUCAAAGAAUUGAAAAAAUAAGGGUCGUGGGGUAAGAAAGAGAGUAAUGAAAAAAUUUUUUUGUUUUUGAAAUUUCUAUAUUUUUCAGAACAAAAAAACAAAUUAUGAACAAAGCAGAAAUUAGGUGAAUAAACUGGAAAGUUUAACCAAAGAAAGUGAUAGUCUUGUAACCGAAAAUUUCUUUUCAAUUCUUUAUUCCCAAGUAGCAUAGGACACGUGGAAUCCUGUGUGAAUCUGCGAGGACCACCUCGUAAGGCUAAAUAUUCCUGGAUGUCCGAUAGCGAAUAGUACCGCGAGGGAAUGGUGAAAAGAACCCCGGGAGGGGAGUGAAAUAGAACGUGAAAUUGUAAGCCCACAAACAGAAGGAGAACAACUUAGUGUUUUACUUCGUGCCUGUUGAAGAAUGUUCCGGCGACUUAUAGUUAGUGGCAGGUUAAGAUAGAGAUAUUGGAGCCAGAGUGAAAGCGAGCUUGAAUAGAGCGUUGGUCACUAGUUAUAGACCCGAACCCGGUUGAUCUAACCAUGGCCAGGAUGAAACUUAGGUAACACUAAAUGGAGGUCCGAACCGACUGAUGUUGAAAAAUCAGCGGAUGAGCUGUGGUUAGGGGUGAAAUGCCAAUCGAAACCGGAGCUAGCUGGUUCUCCCCGAAACGUAUUUAGGUGCGGCGGGUAAUAUUAUAGCAUAGGGGUAAAGCACUGUUUCGGUGCGGGCUGGUAAUUCGGUACCAAAUCGAGGCAAACUCUGAAUACUAUGUGUACAAUUACCCAGUAAGACUAUGGGGGAUAAGCUUCAUAGUCAAGAGGGAAACAGCCCAGAUCAUCAGCUAAGGCCCCUAAAUAAUUACUAAGUGAUAAAGGAAGUGGAAAGGCUUAGACAACCAGGAGGUUUGCUUAGAAGCAGCAAUCCUUUAAAAAGUGCGUAAUAGCUUACUGGUCUAGCAAUUCUGCGCCGAAAACUUAUGGGACUAAGUAAUUUGCCGAAGCUGUGAGAUAUACGUAAAUGUAUAUCGGUAGGGGAGCGUUCUGUUGUAGGUUGAAGUGUUAGCGAAAGCGGGCAUGGACGAAACAGAAGUGAGAAUGUCGGAUUGAGUAACGAAAACAUCGGUGAGAAUCCGAUGCUCCGAAACCCUAAGGUUUCCUCCGCAAGGCUCGUCCACGGAGGGUGAGUCAGGUCCUAAGGUGAGGCUGAGAAGCGUAGUCGAUGGACAAUAGGUUAAUAUUCCUAUACUGAUUUUGAUUGGUAUCGAGGGACGAAGAAGGCUAAACUAGCCAGAUAUUGGUUACUGGUUUAAGAAUCGAGGUGUUGAUGAUUAGAGAAAAUAAUCUGAGCUAAGAAACAAAUACAAGAUUAUAAAAAAUCAAAGUAGUUGAUGUCAUACUUCCAAGAAAAGCUCGCUAUGCCUUAAAUCAAAAUUACCUGUACCUUAAACCGACACAGGUAGGGAGGUAGAGAAUACCAAGGAGCGCGGGAGAACCCUCCUUAAGGAACUCGGCAAAAUAGCUCUGUAACUUCGGAAGAAAGAGUGCCUUUUAGGCUGCAAUAUCAAGUUCCAAGCAACUGUUUAGCAAAAACACAGGUCUCCGCAAAGUGGUAACACGACGUAUGGGGGCUGACGCCUGCCCAGUGCUGGAAGGUUAAAGAAGUCGGUUAGCGCAAGCAAAGCUGGUAACUGAAGCCCCAGUGAACGGCGGCCGUAACUAUAACGGUCCUAAGGUAGCGAAAUUCCUUGUCGGGUGAAACUUGCCCGGUUAAUUUGGUGACAAAUUAUUGAUAACCAGCUCAUAACGGUGAAGUCUAAAAAGAGAAGUCCUCUUCAUGAUAAUACCGUGGGAAGACUAGAAACAAAAUUGUCUAGUCCCCGUAACGACUGAUCCGAAAGGUGAGGAAAUGUUUUUGUAAAAAAAUGUUCAAAACGCUGGCACUUAUCUUUUCUUUUUAUAGUAAUAUUAAAGAAAAAAUUAUACUUUAUCAUGUAUAGAAUUUUAUUAAUCAACUUAGCUAAAUUGGUUACACAAUUAGUAGGAUCUUUUGUAAGAACAAAACAUUCACUGCUUUUUGUAGGAAAGGCUACAGGUAAACCCACUACUGCUAUUGUCAAGAUGGAAAAAAGUAAUAAGCGCGAUUUUUCAAAUUGGAUUGCAGGUUUUACUGAUGGAGAAGGUUCAUUUUGUAUUUCUUUUUCAAAAAGAGAAAAAAUGAAAACUGGAAUUGAAGUAAAGCCGAGUUUUUCAAUUGCUCAAUUAGCAUCUUCAAAACAUGUUUUAGAUGAGAUUGAAAGUUUUUUUGAGUGUGGGUCGAUUCGACCUGUAUUACGCGAUGGAACAUAUAAAUAUGAGGUACGAAGUCUUCAAGAUUUAAAUACCAAAAUUAUUCCUUUUUUUCGCAAAUUCUCUUUAAAAACAAAUAAGUUAAAAGAUUUUAUAUUAUUUGAUGAAAUUUGUCAAUUAAUAAAAAAUAAUAAACAUUUAACUAAAACAGGAAUGAAAGAGAUAAUUGAAAAAUCUUAUGCAAUGAAUCCUAGUGGAACUAGAAAAUAUAGCCAACAAGAAUUGCUUCAUAUAGUUGAUAUGAAAAUAAAAUAAAGCACUAAAAUAAAGUGGUAAGUUGAAGGUAUAGUCUGAUCAAACUGGAAACAGUUUGCUUAACAAAUGAACGUAUCGUUCGAAAAAAUGAAGUUCCGACCCGCACGAAUGGCGUAAUGAUUUGGAAGCUGUCUCAAGGAGGGACUCGGUGAAAUAGAACUAGCUGUGAAGAUGCGGCUUUCCUGUACCUGGACAGUAAGACCCUAUGAAGCUUUACUGUAUCCUGAAAUUGAAUUUCGAUUUUAUUUGCGCAGAAUAGGUGGGAGACAGUGAAAUUAUUCUCUUGGGAAUAGUGGAGUCAUCCGUGAGAUACCACUCUGAUAAAAUUAAAAUUCUAACUUCAUACCGUAAGCCGGUUGAAAGACAGUUUCAGGUGGGCAGUUUGACUGGGGCGGUCGCCUCCCAAAAGGUAACGGAGGCGUACAAAGGUUUCCUCAGAUCGGUCAGAAAUCGAUCUUCGAGUGCAAAGGCAAAAGGAAGCUUAACUGUGAGACAAACAAGUCGAGCAGAGACGAAAGUCGGUCUUAGUGAUCUGACGAUGCUGUGUGGAAAGGUCGUCACUCAACGGAUAAAAGUUACUCUAGGGAUAACAGGCUGAUCUCCCCCAAGAGUUCCUAUCGACGGGGAGGUUUGGCACCUCGAUGUCGGCUCAUCGCAUCCUGGGGCGGUAGUACGUCCCAAGGGUUGGGCUGUUCGCCCAUUAAAGCGGUACGUGAGCUGGGUUCAGAACGUUGCGAAACAGUUCGGUCCAUAUCCGGUAUGGGCGUUAGAGUAUUGAGAGUGACCUUUCUCUAGUACGAGAGGACCGAGAAAGACAUACCUCUAGUGUACCAGUUAUCGUGCCAUCGGUAGACGCUGGGUAGCUAUGUAUGGUUAGGAUAACCGCUGAAAGCAUCU